UCCACUUUCUGGUGCAACUCGAGCUCCAGGACAAGCGCUCCGUAGUUUCGGCUGUCCAGUAUUCGAGUUAUAAAACGAGGUGGUUGGCGGUGGUUGGAAGUAGAUGGAGGUAGACGAGAAGGAGGACGAGAAGGACAAGGAUUUGUGCUCGGUAUGACCCGAGGUGGUUGGCAGUGUCGUUGGA